rnacentral:rRNA from 1 species
AGCGUUAUCCGGAUUUAUUGGGUUUAAAGGGUGCGUAGGCGGAUUGAUAAGUCAGUGGUGAAAACCUGCAGCUUAACUGUAGACUUGCCGUUGAUACUGUCAGUCUUGAGUGUGGUCAAGGUAGGCGGAAUGUGUAAUGUAGCGGUGAAAUGCUUAGAUAUUACACAGAACACCGAUUGCGAAGGCAGCUUACUGGGCCAUUACUGACGCUGAUGCACGAAAGCGUGGGGAUCGAACAGGAUUAGAUACCCUGGUAGUCCACGCCGUAAACGAUGAUCACUCGCUGUUAGCGAUACACAGUUAGCGGCUAAGCAAAAGCAUUAAGUGAUCCACCUGGGGAGUACGGCCGCAAGGCUGAAACUCAAAGGAAUUGACGGGGGCCCGCACAAGCGGAGGAGCAUGUGGUUUAAUUCGAUGAUACGCGAGGAACCUUACCUGGGCUUAAAUGUAGAGUGCAUUCAGCUGAAAGGCUGAUUUCCUUCGGGACUUUCUGCAAGGUGCUGCAUGGUUGUCGUCAGCUCGUGCCGUGAGGUGUCGGGUUAAGUCCCAUAACGAGCGCAACCCUUAUCGUUAGUUGCCAGCGGGUAAUGCCGGGAACUCUAACGAAACUGCCGGUGU